GCGAACGACACGACACCAUCGUCGAUGGUCUGAACAUUUUCCCAGACCUGGAGGACCUCGGUGACGGGAAACCCGGCGGGGAGGGGA
rnacentral:ribozyme from 1 species